rnacentral:rRNA from 1 species
AGUGAACGCUGGCGGUAGGCCUAACACAUGCAAGUCGAACGGCAGCACAGUAAGAGCUUGCUCUUACGGGUGGCGAGUGGCGGACGGGUGAGGAAUACAUCGGAAUCUACUUUUUCGUGGGGGAUAACGUAGGGAAACUUACGCUAAUACCGCAUACGACCUACGGGUGAAAGCAGGGGAUCUUCGGACCUUGCGCGAUUGAAUGAGCCGAUGUCGGAUUAGCUAGUUGGCGGGGUAAAGGCCCACCAAGGCGACGAUCCGUAGCUGGUCUGAGAGGAUGAUCAGCCACACUGGAACUGAGACACGGUCCAGACUCCUACGGUGGGCAGCAGUGGGGAAUAUUGGACAAUGGGCGCAAGCCUGAUCCAGCCAUACCGCGUGGGUGAAGAAGGCCUUCGGGUUGUAGAGCCCUUUUGUUGGGAAAGAAAAGCAGCAGGUUAAUACCCCGCUGUAAUGACGGUACCCAAAGAAUAAGCACCGGCUAACUUCGUG